rnacentral:rRNA from 1 species
AGAGUUGAUCAUGGCUCAGGAUGAACGCUAGCGACAGGCUUAACACAUGCAAGUCGAGGGGCAGACAUAAAAGUAGCAAUACUUGGUGGCGACCGGCGCACGGGUGAGUAACGCGUAUGCAACCUACCUAUCAGAGGGGAAUAACCCGGCGAAAGUCGGACUAAUACCGCAUAAAACAGGGGCACCGCAUGGUGAUAUUUGUUAAAGAAAUUCGCUGAUAGAUGGGCAUGCGCUCCAUUAGGUAGUUGGUGAGGUAACGGCUCACCAAGCCGACGAUGGAUAGGGGAACUGAGAGGUUGGUCCCCCACACUGGUACUGAGACACGGGCCAGACUCCUACGGGAGGCAGCAGUGAGGAAUAUUGGUCAAUGGGGCGGGAGCCUGAACCAGCCAAGUCGCGUGAAGGAAGAAGGAUCUAUGGUUCGUAAACUUCUUUUGCAGGGGAAUAAAGUGCAGGACGUGUCCUGUUUUGUAUGUACCCUGAGAAUAAGGAUCGGCUAACUCCGUGCCAGCCGCCGC